rnacentral:rRNA from 1 species
GACAGAGGGUGCAACCGUUGUUCGGAAUUACUGGGCGUAAAGCGCGUGUAGGCGGCCCUGCAAGUCGGAUGUGAAAUCCCACGGCUCAACCGUGGAAGUGCAUUCGAAACUGCAGGGCUAGAGUUCUGGAGAGGAAGGUGGAAUGCUUGGUGUAGAGGUGAAAUUCGUAGAUAUCAAGCGGAACACCGGUGGCGAAGGCGGCCUUCUGGACAGUGACUGACGCUGAGACGCGAAAGCGUGGGGAGCAAACAGG